GAUAAUAAUGAAAAUGAAUUAGAACCCUGUAAAAAACUUCCAUUUCAAUACUCCAAUCAGUGUUUAAAAAAAGAAAAUCAGCAAAACGGAUGGCAUCCUGUUAGCCAAUGUUGGACUACUAAUCAUUUAAUUUAUAUAGGCUGCAGUGAAAACUCAAUUAUCUGUGUAGAGACUAUAUCUGGAAAUACAUUGGUUGUAUACAUUUCUGAUUCUGAUAUUUCUGAUAUUUUUGAGUGUAUUCAGUUUUACAGAGAUUGCUUAGUGGUUGGUGGAAAGGAUGGAGUUAUAAGAUGUUUUAAAAUAGCA
rnacentral:lncRNA from 1 species